rnacentral:rRNA from 1 species
UACGUAGGGGGCGAGCGUUGUCCGAAGUUACUGGGCGUAAAGCGCGCGUAGGCGGGGGGUUAAGUGAGAGGUGAAAGGCUGGGGCUCAACCUCAUGCAGUGCCUCUCAUACUGGCCUUCUUGAGGGCGGUAGGGAGAAGUGGAAUGGCUGGUGUAGCGGUGAAAUGCGCAGAUAUCAGGAGGAACACCGGUGGCGAAGGCGGAUCUCUGGGCCUUACCUGACGCUCAGGCGCGAAAGCUAGGGGAGCGAACAGG